rnacentral:tRNA from 1 species
GCUUCUAAAGGAGAACAGUCUAUCCGUUGGUCUUAGGAACCAAAGCCUCUUGGUGCAACUCCAAGUAGAAGCU